rnacentral:rRNA from 1 species
UACGUAGGGGGCAAGCGUUGUUCGGAAUUAUUGGGCGUAAAGAGCGUGUAGGCGGCUUUACAGGUCCGUUGUGAAAACUCGAGGCUCAACCUCGAGACGCCGGUGGAAACCGUAAAGCUAGAGUCCGGAAGAGGAGAGUGGAAUUCCUGGUGUAGCGGUGAAAUGCGCAGAUAUCAGGAAGAACACCCGUGGCGAAGGCGGCUCUCUGGGACGGUACUGACGCUGAGACGCGAAAGCGUGGGGAGCGAACAGG